GACGAACGCUGGCGGCGUGCCUAAUACAUGCAAGUUGAGCGCUGAAGGUUGGUACUUGUACCAACUGGAUGAGCAGCGAACGGGUGAGUAACGCGUGGGGAAUCUGCCUUUGAGCGGGGGACAACAUUUGGAAACGAAUGCUAAUACCGCAUAAAAACUUUAAACACAAGUUUUAAGUUUGAAAGAUGCAAUUGCAUCACUAAAAGAUGAUCCCGCGUUGUAUUAGCUAGUUGGUGAGGUAAAGGCUCACCAAGGCGAUGAUACAUAGCCGACCUGAGAGGGUGAUCGGCCACACUGGGACUGAGACACGGCCCAAACUCCUACGGGAGGCAGCAGUAGGGAAUCUUCGGCAAUGGACGGAAGUCUGACCGAGCAACGCCGCGUGAGUGAAGAAGGUUUUCGGAUCGUAAAAAUCUGUUGGUAGAGAAGAACGUUGGUGAGAGUGGAAAGCUCAUCAAGUGACGGUAACUACCCAGAAAGGGACGGCUAACUACGUG
rnacentral:rRNA from 1 species